rnacentral:rRNA from 1 species
UAGGGAAUCUUCCGCAAUGGACGAAAGUCUGACGGAGCAACGCCGCGUGAGUGAAGAAGGAUUUCGGUUCGUAAAACUCUGUUGUUAGGGAAGAAAAAUGUAUAGUAACUAUAUACAAAAGAGACGGUACCUAACCAGAAAGCCACGGCUAACUACGUGCCAGCAGCCGCGGUAAUACGUAGGUGGCAAGCGUUGUCCGGAAUUAUUGGGCGUAAAGCGCGCGCAGGUGGUUUAGAAAGUCUGAUGUGAAAGCCCACGGCUCAACCGUGGAGGGUCAUUGGAAACUAAUAAACUUGAGUGCAGGAGAGAAAAGUGGAAUUCCUAGUGUAGCGGUGAAAUGCGUAGAGAUUAGGAGGAACACCGGUGGCGAAAGCGGCUUUUUGGCCUGCAACUGACACUGAGGCGCGAAAGCGUGGGGAGCAAACAGG